CCUAGAGAGGGCUGUUGAGCUCCCAGUCACCCUCUGGUGUCCUCAGGGACAAAGGUAUUCACAGUCUUCACGGCUGACCCUUCUCCGUGAUCUCCUGCCUGAGGACCUCUUACCUUGGGCGUUUACUAAAAAAUCUACAUCCAGGACAGCUCCAGAGAAGCAACCCACAGAAGCUCCAAUCUACUCCCACAGACGCUUCUACUGGGCCUUCACCCUCCUACCAGCAGAUGGUCCCACAGACCCUGGACAGCAAUGAAACAGCCAACCCUCCUGAGUCUGGACCAACGUCCCCAUUCUCAUUUCCUUAGGUUUCUCAGAGACAAAAUUGUUGCCCCAAAGUCAGCAGGAAGGAGUGUUUGGGGAAUGCACUCAGGACCCGUUCGUAACAGACAAGUGUGUCAUAGCAGAUCUAUGUCUCCAGCUCAAAGCUUUCUCCACAGCAGCAACGAUUCUUCCGGGAAAGGUAAGUGUUCCCUGCAGGUAGUGUCCCUUCCCGGACUUCGCACUGCGCUGAGAGCAGUUAAUGGGUAUCCCUUCCCACAGUCCUUUUCCACUCACCAAACUGUACCCACCUCUGCUUCCCCCUCAUUCCCUGGCCACCAUUCUGCAUCCUGACAUGGCUUAGGAGUCCACGGGAUCUGGGUCCUGCCAACUGCCUAGACCUCAUUCUCUAUCUCGGCUCUUAUUUGGUUUCCUCAUGGUCACUCUGGCCCCCCUGGCUACUUUGGACCACGGCUCACUCAGGGCUUUCUGUCCCUAUGCUGCGACUGUCCCCAGACAGCUUCUAGCUCCUACCUCACAUACUCUAAGAUCGUUUGAAUGUGAACUGUCCCUCCCAGGCUCAUACGUUUGAGCACUCAGUCCUCAGUGAGGAGUGCUGUGUUGGGGGUUGUGGAACAUUCAGGAUGGGGAUCAUGAUUCGUAAAGACAUUUGUAAAGAGGACACUCGGGUUGGCCUCUAAGAAUGAUAACUCAGCCUCUCUUCCAGGCCUACCACCACUUCCUGCUGUGAUAUAAGCAAGCCACAAUCUCCUGUAGCCAUUAACUGAACCCGCAGGCACCAUGUCUUCCCUCAGAUAAGCGACUGUUUUACUUAGGGUUUCCGUUGCUGUGAAGAGACACCCUGACCACAGUGACUCUUAUAAAGGAAAGCAUUUAAUUGGGGCUGGCUUACAGUUCAGAGGUUUAUUUAGUCCAUUACUGUCAUGGUAGGAAGCACAGGUAAGAGCUAGUGAUGAUAACCUAGUGACCUUGGAUGAUCUAGUGGCCACACAUGGAGUGUGCCUCUUCGAGCUGAUGGGAUCAGUGUUAGGUCAAGACAAGAGUGAACGGUGCCUCUUAGGAUCUAGGCCUAAACAUCAGAAGGAUGAUGCGGCCAUGUCUGUAUCAUGGAGAGGGACGGGUACCACUCUCAGGAUGUUGGAAACGAGUGCCUGGAAAUCCUGCUGUUUUAGCAGGGGAUGCUUCCUGCCCGUAGCCCAUUGGUGGCUUCACAAGAGGAGUGGUCAAGUUGAAGAUGGAGUUGCUGUGUGGAAGGUUCAGCUUACAAGCCAUUGGAGAAGCAUGGCUGGGCACAGGCAGCGGCCUCUAGCUCUUGGGCUGGCCAGCGCUUCUUCCUCCUUCCUCCUCUCUUCCCUCUGUCCCUCCCUCUUUCCCUCCCUUUUGGAAAGGGUCUCACUAUGUAGCUCAUACUGGUCUGAUCCUCCUGCCUCAGCCUGAGUGCUUGGACAGCAGGCUUGCACUGAAUUACUGGCUCAUUCUGACGUUGCUGCAGCUGUUGCUGCUCGAUGCAGAGUUAAACACUGAAGCCCUGUGUGGACUGGUAUCAGAGGGAGCUGCGGACCCUGAUUGGCUGGUAAGAGGGAGCUCCGGACUCUGAUUGGCUGCUGCAGCCUAUCACGACUCAUCGGGACUAGAAAAGAAGAUAUGACCAUGGAGUGGGCGUGGAGGACGGACAACUCUUCAAGGGGGGUGUGGGGGAGAGAGCGUCACACUUUCCAGUUUGCUCUUCUGCACUCUUCUCCAGUUCCAGGGCAGGCAGCCAGUCCAGGCUCCUGUCUCAGCCUUAGUGGCCCCUUCUUGCCCUUCAAUUCGGAAAAGCCUGGUCCUGCUGCAGGAUCGGUCUAGGUACUCUAGACCUGGACACUCCUCAACAUCCCCCCGCCACUUGAGCACCCCUUCCCAACCCACAUCAGGUUGUUCUUAUUGCUACCCAGUCUGUUUGCCCCCUUGCUCAAGACCUGUCCUGCUCACUCAUGUCUCCACCACUCAAAAUGGCCUCCCUUGUUGAAGGAAGUCUCUGCAUACCUGACAAGCAGACAGCAAUAGUAGGGAAAUACUGUUGGCCAUUUCUUAGCUCAUUUUUAGAUUCUUAUAUCUAUCACCCUUCCAACCCUUAUCAAAUUUUCCCAGAAUUCCAAACAAACUAUCUGCUGCUGGCAAAAAACACACCCCUCCUAGUGCACGAGAUAAAUCGUAGUCACCUGCUAUGAGGCAAGCCCAUAUCCCAUACUAAACAUAGUCACAUAACAUAACUGUUUUUUGUUUUUUUGUUUUUUAGGAAACCAGAAUUCCCACCUCACACCACAGCUAUUUCUAACGCUGCAAUGGGCGUGGCUCUACCUAAGUUGUCACCGAGUGGAAAGGUCAGAUGCUGCCUUCCCAUGAUGCAACAGCAAAGGCCUAAAAUCCCGUUCCACACAGAGCCUUCACUGCGGUUUCCCUUUCAGCGUCUGGGUGCGGAGUGAGAAUACGCAGGGCCUGCAGAAUGCGGGGCUCACAGCAACCCUCCUAUAAAAGUGGACUGUCAUGCCCAUUCUACAGGAGAAAAACUGAGGCUGGAGAACGCGAGCUAUCCUGUCCAAGGUUAUGAAGCCACCCAGGUUCCAGCCUCCAUGCUUGGUAAGUAGGCCUUAUGGAUCAGCUAUAGGUUGGGCAACUUGGCAAAGCCUCCAGAGAGAUGGUAACUGUGAU
rnacentral:sRNA from 1 species